ACGGCCAUACCACGUUGAAAACACCGGUUCUCGUCCGAUCACCGAAGUUUAACAACGUCGGGCCCGUUCAGUACUUGGGAGGGUGACCACCUGGGAACACCGGGUGCUGUAGGCU